rnacentral:rRNA from 1 species
GUGAGGAAUAUUGGUCAAUGGGCGGGAGCCUGAACCAGCCAAGUCGCGUGAAGGAAGAAGGAUCUAUGGUUCGUAAACUUCUUUUGCAGGGGAAUAAAGUGCAGGACGUGUCCUGUUUUGUAUGUACCCUGAGAAUAAGGAUCGGCUAACUCCGUGCCAGCAGCCGCGGUAAUACGGAGGAUCCGCGCGUUAUCCGGAUUUAUUGGGUUUAAAGGGUGCGUAGGUGGUUUGAUAAGUCAGCGGUGAAAGUUUGCAGCUUAACUGUAAAAAUGCCGUUGAAACUGUCGGACUUGAGUGUAAAUGAGGUAGGCGGAAUGCGUGGUGUAGCGGUGAAAUGCAUAGAUAUCACGCAGAACUCCGAUUGCGAAGGCAGCUUACUAAGCUACAACUGACACUGAAGCACGAAAGCGUGGGGAUCAAACAGGAUUAGAAACCCUUGUAGUCC